rnacentral:rRNA from 1 species
ACGGGUGAGUAACACGUGGGCAACCUGCCCUUGAGACUGGGAUAACUUCGGGAAACCGGAGCUAAUACCGGAUAAUAUGAGGAACCUCCUGGUUCUUUAUUGAAAGAUGGUUUCGGCUAUCACUUAAGGAUGGGCCCGCGGCGCAUUAGCUAGUUGGUGAGGUAACGGCUCACCAAGGCGACGAUGCGUAGCCGACCUGAGAGGGUGAUCGGCCACACUGGGACUGAGACACGGCCCAGACUCCUACGGGAGGCAGCAGUAGGGAAUCUUCCACAAUGGACGAAAGUCUGAUGGAGCAACGCCGCGUGAGUGAUGAAGGCCUUCGGGUCGUAAAGCUCUGUUGUUAGGGAAGAACAAGUGCGAGAGUAACUGCUCGCACCUUGACGGUACCUAACCAGAAAGCCACGGCUAACUACGUGCCAGCAGCCGCGGUAAUACGUAGGUGGCAAGCGUUAUCCGGAAUUAUUGGGCGUAAAGCGCGCGCAGGUGGUUUCUUAAGUCUGAUGUGAAAGCCCACGGCUCAACCGUGGAGGGUCAUUGGAAACUGGGGAACUUGAGUGCAGAAGAGGAAAGUGGAAUUCCA